AUCAGACGGAUGAAUUGGUUCUAAUGCGCCAGGAAUAUGAACUUUUGACGAACCCUCUGAGUUUGGUAAGAAGACGCCUUGCAGAAACAAAUAAGUCAUCAACAACCGAAUGAAGUAAAGAGCUGUCCGUAAAUGAUGAAAUAUACGACCAAAUGAAUAUCAAUAUCAAUUGUGGUGUCCGAUGCCUAAAAUUGAACGAUGAUGACGAUGGCGAAGAAAAAAAGAAGUAAAAUUUUCUUUGGAUUCGAUCAUUGAUCCGUCUUGGCGACAAGCCCGAUGAAAAACAGGAUGCGACUGGAACCGGACGUAACGAGUUUGGCAUACAUAAACAGUUCCAGAAACGAAGGAAACAUCUCGGUUAUUAUCAUUGUCGUAUUGCAAUGAUUUAUACCUUAUUAGCAUCAAAAUAAUAUUGUUUGGCACACUUUUUCAAAUCAACUGUUAAAAUAAUCAUUGUAACAGGUACUCAGAUAGCAACGUAUCUGUCUUGUUGCUGGCAUAUUGCUUAACAAUAAACAUGUGUUGCUACUA